AUCACUUCUUGGCCUUUUCGCUCAGACCAAGCAUAGUAUCUGUUCUUAUCAGCUUAAUGUCUAAAUCACUUCCUUUAUUUAUGUUAGUGCUUUGACUACCUUAUCACAGGAUACAGAGUAAAUUGCUUUGGUACUGAACUGUUUUGAUUGUUGUUUAGGUUAAUAUUCAAAUAUCAUUCAAGACAAACAAGAUGCA